rnacentral:rRNA from 1 species
AACGAACGCUGGCGGCAGGCCUAACACAUGCAAGUCGAGCGAGGACUCCGGCCCUAGUGGCGGACGGGAGUGGAAUCAGUCGGAAGGUGCCCUUUGCUUCGGAAUAGCCCUGGGACUCUGGGAGUAUUACCGGAUGAGACCUCUGGGGGUAAGAUUUAUCGGCGCAGGAUCGGCCCGCGUUGGAUUAGGUAGUUGGUGGGGGAAUGGCCAACCAAACUCACGAUCCAUAGCUGGUUGGAGAGGAUGAUCAGCCACACUGGGAGUGAGACGCGGCCCAGACUCCUACGGAAGGCAGGAGUGGGGAAUAUUGGACAAUGGGGGAAACCCUGAUCGCGCCAUGCCGCGUGAGCGAUGAAGGCCUUAGGGUUGUAAAGCUCUUUAAGCUGGGAAGAUAAUGACGGUACCUGCAGAGGAAGCCCCGGCUAACUCCGUG